rnacentral:rRNA from 1 species
AGAAUCAACGCUGGCGGCGUGCCUCAGACAUGCAAGUCGAACGCGAAAGGCUCCUUCGGGGGCCGAGUAGAGUGGCGCACGGGUGAGUAACACGUAGGUAAUUUGCCUUUGGGUGGGGAAUAACUCAGGGAAACUUGAGCUAAUACCGCAUAAUGCAGCGGCUCGACAUCGAGACAGUUGUUAAAGCGGGGGAUCGCAAGACCUCGCGCCUAAAGAGAAGCCUGCGGCAGAUUAGCUAGUUGGUAGGGUAAUGGCCUACCAAGGCGACGAUCU